rnacentral:rRNA from 1 species
UGCAGUCGAACGGAUCCUUCGGGAUUAGUGGCAGACGGGUGAGUAACGCGUGGGAAGCUACCUUGUGGUAGGGGACAACAGUUGGAAACGACUGCUAAUACCCUAUGAGCCCUAUGGGGGAAAGAUUUAUCGCCAUGAGAUGUGCCCGCGUUAGAUUAGCUAGUUGGUAAGGUAAUGGCUUACCAAGGCGACGAUCUAUAGCUGGUCUGAGAGGAUGAUCAGCCACACUGGGACUGAGACACGGCCCAGACUCCUACGGGAGGCAGCAGUGGGGAAUAUUGGACAAUGGGGGCAACCCUGAUCCAGCCAUGCCGCGUGUGUGAUGACGGCCUUAGGGUUGUAAAGCACUUUCAGCAGUGAAGAUAAUGACAUUAACUGCAGAAGAAGCCCCGGCUAACUUCGUGCCAGCAGCCGCGGUAAUACGAAGGGGGCUAGCGUUGUUCGGAAUCACUGGGCGUAAAGAGUACGUAGGCGGACUGAUAAGUUAGGGGUGAAAUCCCAAGGCUCAACCUUGGAACUGCCUUUGAUACUGUCAGUCUUGAGAUCGAGAGAGGUGAGUGGAACUCCGAGUGUAGAGGUGAAAUUCGUAGAUAUUCGGAAGAACACCAGUGGCGAAGGCGGCUCACUGGCUCGAUACUGACGCUGAGGUANNNAAGNNNGGGGAGCAAACAGGAUUAGAUACCCUGGU